UGCAGUCGCACGAGAAAGGGAGCAAUCCCCGGUACAGUGGCGCACGGGUGAGUAACACGUGGAUAAUCUUCCCUCGAGCGGGGGAUAACCUUCCGAAAGGAGGGCUAAUACCGCAUAAGACUACGGCCUCUUCGGAGGCAGGAGUAAAAGCUGGCCUCUACACGUAAGCUAGCACUCGAGGAUGAGUCCGCGGCCCAUCGGCUAGUUGGUAGUGUAACGGACUACCAAGGCGAAGACGGGUAGCUGGUCUGAGAGGAUGAUCAGCCACACUGGAACUGAGACACGGUCCAGACUCCUACGGGAGGCAGCAGUGGGGAAUCUUGCGCAAUGGACGAAAGUCUGACGCAGCGACGCCGCGUGGGUGAUGAAGGCCCUCGGGUUGUAAAGCCCUGUGGGGAGGGACGAAUAAGUGCAAUCUAAUACAUUGCAUGAUGACGGUACCUCCUUAGCAAGCACCGGCUAACUCUGUGCCAGCAGCCGCGGUAAGACAGAGGGUGCGAACGUUGUUCGGAAUUACUGGGCGUAAAGCGCGUGUAGGCGGUCGUGCAAGUCGGGUGUGAAAGCCCUGGGCUCAACCCAGGAAGUGCAUUCGAUACUGCGCGACUGGAGUCCCGGAGAGGAUGGUGGAACUCUCGGUGUAGAGGUGAAAUUCGUAGAUAUCGAGAAGAACACCGGUGGCGAA
rnacentral:rRNA from 1 species